CCCCCGAUGGUCUAGUUGGGUAUGGCGUCCGGCUGUAAACCGGAAGGUCGCCGGCUAUUCCGGCUCGGGGGA
rnacentral:tRNA from 1 species